rnacentral:rRNA from 1 species
GAUGAACGCUAGCUACAGGCUUAACACAUGCGAGUCGAGGGGAAACGAUGAGAGAGCUUGCUCUCUUAGUCGUCGACCGGCGCACGGGUGAGUAACGCGUAUCCAACCUGCCUCUGACCAAGGGAUAACCCGUCGAAAGUCGGACUAAUACCUUAUGCAGUCGUCGGAAGUCAUCUGUUGACGACGAAAGAUUUCAUCGGUGAGAGAUGGGGAUGCGUCUGAUUAGCUUGUUGGCGGGGUAACGGCCCACCAAGGCGACGAUCAGUAGGGGUUCUGAGAGGAAGGUCCCCCACAUUGGAACUGAGACACGGUCCAAACUCCUACGGGAGGCAGCAGUGAGGAAUAUUGGUCAAUGGGCGUAAGCCUGAACCAGCCAAGUAGCGUGCAGGAUGACGGCCCUAUGGGUUGUAAACUGCUUUUAUGCGGGGAUAAAGUGAGGGACGUGUCCUUCAUUGCAGGUACCGCAUGAAUAAGGACCGGCUAAUUCCGUG